rnacentral:rRNA from 1 species
AACGAACGCUGGCGGCAGGCUUAACACAUGCAAGUCGAACGGUUGUAGCAAUACAGCAGUGGCAGACGGGUGAGUAACACGUGGGAACCUUCCUAGAGGUACGGAACAACGCAGGGAAACUUGCGCUAAUACCGUAUACGCUCGUGAGAGGAAAGAUUUAUCGCCUUUAGACGGGCCCGCGUCGGAUUAGGUAGUUGGUGGGGUAACGGCCUACCAAGCCGACGAUCCGUAGCUGACCUGAGCGGAUGAUCAGCCACACUGGGACUGAGACACGGCCCAGACUCCUACGGGAGGCAGUAGUGGGGAAUUUUGGACAAUGGGCGCAAGCCUGAUCCAGCCAUGCCGCGUGAGUGAAUAAGGCCUUAGGGUUGUAAAGCUCUUUUGCCAGGGACGAUAAUGACGGUACCUGGAGAAUAAGCCCCGGCAAACUUCGUGCCAGCAGCCGCAGUAACAC